GACGGACACGUACAGAACCUUCCUUUAAGCGGGGGAUAGCCCAUAGAAAUGUGGAUUAAUACCCCAUAGUAAUAUUGACUGGCAUCAGUUGGUAUUUAAAGAUUUAUCACUUAAAGAUGGCUGUGCGGCUGAUUAGGUAGUUGGUGCGGGUAACGGCCCACCAAGCCUUCGAUCAGUAACUGGUGUGAGAGCACGACCAGUCACACGGGCACUGAGACACGGGCCCG
rnacentral:rRNA from 1 species